GAUGAACGCUGGCGGCGUGCCUAAUACAUGCAAGUCGAGCGAACAGAUGAGGAGCUUGCUCCUCUGACGUUAGCGGCGGACGGGUGAGUAACACGUGGAUAACCUACCUAUAAGACUGGGAUAACUUCGGGAAACCGGAGCUAAUACCGGAUAAUAUAUUGAACCGCAUGGUUCAAUAGUGAAAGACGGUUUUGCUGUCACUUAUAGAUGGAUCCGCGCCGCAUUAGCUAGUUGGUAAGGUAACGGCUUACCAAGGCGACGAUGCGUAGCCGACCUGAGAGGGUGAUCGGCCACACUGGAACUGAGACACGGUCCAGACUCCUACGGGAGGCAGCAGUAGGGAAUCUUCCGCAAUGGCGAAAGCCUGACGGAGCAACGCCGCGUGAGUGAUGAAGGUCUUCGGAUCGUAAAACUCUGUUAUUAGGGAAGAACAAAUGUGUAAGUAACUAUGCACGUCUUGACGGUACCUAAUCAGAAAGCCACGGCUAACUACGUG
rnacentral:rRNA from 1 species